CGUAGGUGGCAAGCGUUGUCCGGAUUUAUUGGGUUUAAAGGGUGCGUAGGCGGCCUUAUAAGUCAGUGCUGAAAUAUCCCGGCUUAACCGGGAGGGUGGCAUUGAUACUGUAGGGCUUGAGUACAGAUGAGGUAGGCGGAAUUGACGGUGUAGCGGUGAAAUGCAUAGAUAUCGUCAAGAACACCGAUAGCGAAGGCAGCUUACUGGGCUGUAACUGACGCUGAUGCACGAAAGUGUGGGGAUCAAACAGGAUUAGAUACCCUGGUAGUCCACACUGUAAACGUUGAUUACUCGCUGUUUGCGAUACACUGCAAGUGGCUUAGCGAAAGCGAUAAGUAAUCCACCUGGGGAGUACGCCGGCAACGGUG
rnacentral:rRNA from 1 species